rnacentral:rRNA from 1 species
GACGGAGGAUGCAAGUGUUAUCCGGAAUCACUGGGCGUAAAGCGUCUGUAGGUGGUUUCAAAAGUCCACUGUUAAAGAUUGAAGCUUAACUUCAAAAAUGCCGUGGAAACUUUGAAACUUGAGUAUGAUAGGGGUAGAGGGAAUUUCCAGUGGAGCGGUGAAAUGCGUAGAUAUUGGAAAGAACACCGAUGGCGAAGGCACUUUACUGGGCUAUUACUAACACUCAGAGACGAAAGCUAGGGUAGCAAAUGGG